AACGCGAAGAACCUUACCUGGGUUAAAUCACUGGUGCAAGGUGCAGAGAUGCACCCCCCGGGCAACCGGCGCUAGUGAAGGUGCUGCAUGGCUGUCGUCAGCUCGUGUCGUGAGAUGUUGGGUUAAGUCCCGCAACGAGCGCAACCCUUACCGUUAGUUGCCAGCAUUUAGUUGGGCACUCUAGUGGAACUGCCGGUGAUAAACCGGAGGAAGGUGGGGAUGAUGUCAAGUCAUCAUGGCCUUUAUGUCCAGGGCUACACACGUGCUACAAUGGCCGGUACAAACCGUCGCAAACUCGCGAGAGGGAGCCAAUCGGAAAAAGCCGGUCUCAGUUCGGAUUGGAGUCUGCAACUCGACUCCAUGAAGUUGGAAUCGCUAGUAAUCGCAGAUCAGCACGCUGCGGUGAAUACGUUCCCGGGUCUUGUACACACCG
rnacentral:rRNA from 1 species